AUUAGUAUUAGUUAUAUUUUUGAAAGUUAAAAGAUUUGGCGGUAUUUUAGUCUUUUUAGAGGAACUUGUUCUAUAAUUGAUAGUCCACGAUUUAAUAUACUUUUUUUAUUAGUUUAUAUAUCGUUGUUGUAAAAAAAUUUUUAAAAAAUAUUAAUUUUUUAAAUUUUAAAUAAAAAAAUAAAUCAGAUCAUGAUGUAGUUUAUAAAAAAGAAGAAAUGAGUUACAUUAAUUUUAUAAUUAUUAAGGAUUUUUAUUAGAAUAGUAAAUUGAAUUUGGAUUUAAGUGUAAAUUUAAUUAAUUAAUUAAAUUGAUUUAGCUCUAAAAUAUGUACACAUC
rnacentral:rRNA from 1 species